GCAAGGCAAGCCAGUUGGAGUCACAGCUCCCCCCGCCCCAGCAGUAAGCCAUUAUGCUAAUUGAGAAGUAGCUGUUGGGAGGCCUAGUCAAAGGCACGUCUUCCCCGGGGUGGGGGUGCUGGGUGCCCCAUGCAUUCAUAGGCAGUGGAACACUAGGACUUUUUUUUUUUUAAGUAGUUUCACUCCUCCGGGGACUAGUGGCUGGGUCUCCUAUGCUCUGACUCCCUCCAUCGGAGUCUCCCAAUCUGUUUCUUCUCCCCCCACACCCACUCAGUUCUUCCCCUCUCCCCACAAAUUUCCAGGCCCAGUUUCCAACUGGUAGGGGGGGAAGGCCAGAUUUUUUUUUUAAACAGCCCCUCCUUUUUGAGAACAGACAACAAGCGAUAGAACCAGCCACUACUCUGUGGCCUCCUGGUUAGAAUAUUUGGCUUUUGCCUUCUCCUAUCUGGAUGCACCAGGAGAGACUGGACUGGGUGAACAAAGCCAAGAAGUUACCUCAGACCCUCCAGCUCUGCUCGCUGCUGCUAGAGAAGGUCGUCAGGAAGCGGACAGAAGAGAAGAACCUGGUUGCAUCAAGGAAUAGAAAGACAGCCUGGAGGACGCACGGCCAGCUGCAGGCCUGCAAGCCCGCAAGCCCGGGCUGCGGGCGGACCUGGCCUGGAGCUGAGCUGAGGGUGGAGGGGCUUUCCUGGGGCAGCAUUGGGCCCCUCCCCUCCUGGAGCCUCCUCAACUCACUGUGGUCCCUUUUGGCUGUACCAGGAAGUGGGGCACAGUGGGGUAGAAGCAAAAAGAAGUAAGGAGCAAGAAAACUAACCUGGAGACACAUUUCAGAGGAUAUGCACCCCCAAAUGUGGUAGGAGAUGGAGUGGGACCUCUUAAUCAACUCUGGAGCGCAGAGCACAUUUGAAAUGUUUGGGAGGCGAUUAGAACCCAUUUUGGUUUAUUUCUUAUUUUUUUUCUUCCCUUCUCAGAGAUUUCGGGCUGGCCGGUUGCCCCUAAUUGGGGCUAGGAGGGUGGGGGUUGUGGAUGGUAGAAGUGGCAGCCCUGGGGGCUCCCAUUUCGUUGGAAGUGUGGAUGCGGGGUAGGGACCUGUCCAACUUCAGGGACGAAGGCAGGGCAGCGAGGAGCUUGGGCAGAGAGCUUGGGGUGGGAGACACCAGAAGUGUCUGCGGGAAGAUUUUGGAGUGUGCAGAAACGGGAGGAGAGGGUGUCACCACUGCCAAUGAAGUUGUGGUUCAGGGGCAGGCGAGAGAGAGAGGAGAAGGAAAAAUUUCUUCCUGGAUUUAAGGUGGGAAACUUAGCAACUUUGUGUGUGUGUGUGUGUGUGUGUGUGUGAGAGAGAGAGAGAGAGAGAGAGAGAGAUAUUGAAAAAAAUGGGGAGAAAGAUGAAAACACAGAGACCUUAGUGUAAUCUAAUAAUUAAAGGCAAAAGUUAAUAAUAAAGGUAAAAAUUAGAGAAAA